UGGCCGACAAUGGUGGCAGAGGCGUGCGAGUGGGCGUGGCAGACGAGGAGGUGGAGCGGCACACAUGCGGCGCUUGGAGGCUAGGGUUUCCUUUGAUAGCUGAAUUUUUUUUUAAGUUUUAUGGGUUAGGGUUUUCCUAAUUUUGGGCCAGAUUUUGGGCUUGGGAUUUUAUUUUGGAUUUUAUUAUUUGGGUUAUUUUGUUGGUAUGGGCCCGGGAAAAAAUGGGCUCUUACAGCUGCCCCUAUUUGCUCAUUUUCGUGUAACGAGAAUAGAGCAAAGACGUCAAAAGGGCCAAUUUUGCCCGGUCUUGCCGAGUCUUGACUUUUUGGUGCUCAUCUUCUUCAAGUAGCCUUAUUCCAGCCUGCUACGUCUUGUUGCUUCGAUCCACUCUACUGCAACUUCAAAUACGCCUUGUAGCUUCAAUCUACUCUGCUACGACUCCAUGGGGAUGAGAUUUGUGUUUUUAGUCUGCUCCACUACUGCUUAGGGAGAUAAGACUGUAUGUGAUCUGCUCCACUACUGCUUAGGGAGAUAAGAUCUGUAAUCUUCGAUCUAUUCCACUGUUGCCCAGGGAGAUAGAAUUACCAGCUUCAAUGUACUCUACUGUAGUCACAGGGCGGUAAAAUCUGCCAUCUUCGAUCUGCUUCGCUGCCAAAUACAGGAAGAUAAGAUCUGCAAUCUUCAAUCUAUUCCACUGCCAAAUACAGGGAGAUAGAGUUAUCGGCUUCAAUGUACUCCACUGUAGUCAGGGAGGUAAAAUCUGCCAUCUUCGAUCUUCAAUCUAUUCCACUGCCAAAUACAGGGAGAUAGAGUUAUCGGCUUCAAUGUACUCCACUGUAGUCAGGGAGGUAAAAUCUGCCAUCUUCGAUCUGCUUCGCUGCCAAAUACAGGAAGGCAAGAUCUGCAAUCUUCAAUCUAUUCCACUGCUAAAUACAGGGAGAUAGAGUUAUCGGCUUCAAUGUACUCCACUGUAGUCAGGGAGGUAAAAUCUGCCAUCUUCGAUCUGCUUCGCUGCCAAAUACAGGAAGGCAAGAUCUACAAUCUUCGAUCCACUUCCUACCAAUAUAGGAAGAUAGGACCUGCUAUCUUCGAUCUACUUCACGCCAAUACAUGAAGACAAGAUCUGCUUUCUUCGGUCUACUUCGCCACCAAUAUGGGAAGACAAGAUCUGUAUCAUCGAUCCACUUCCUACCAAUAUAGGAAGACAAGACCUACUAUCUUUGAUCUACUUCACGCCAAUACAUGAAGACAAGAUCUGAUUUCUUCGAUCUACUUCGCCACCAAUAUGGAAAGACAAGAUCUGCAUCUUCGAUCUACUUCACGCCAAUACAUGAAGAUAAGAUCUACUUUUUUCGAUCUACUUCGCCACCAGUAUGGGAAGACAAGAUCUGCAUCGUUGAUCCACUUCCUACCAAUAUAGGAAGACAGGACCUGUUAUCUUUGAUCUACUUCACGCCAAUACAUGAAGACAAGAUCUGCUUUCUUUGAUCUACUUCCUACCAAUAUAGGAAGAUAGGAUCUGCUUCCUUCGAUCUACUUCACGCCAAUACAUGAAGGCAAGAUCUGCUUUAAUGACUUCAAUCCAUCCCACUGUAACUUCAGGGGUAUAAGAUUUGUUUCUUUGAUCUGUUCUCUGGGGAACAUGACCUGCAAAAUCCAUUUCAUGGACCUAUUUAUGCCUAGUGUUUAGGAUGACAUGAUCAGAAUGAAUCAAAUGCUCCUAACUAGAUGUGUAUGUAUUAUAUUUGUAGAAUGUCAUGAGAAUGAUCCAUUUUUAAUGCUUAGGUUGUCAUUCCUCAUUGUUCAUCAAGGUUCUAUCACUGAUGCCUUCUUGUUCAGCCAGUACCUUUGACAGAAAACCCAAAGAAAUAGUCGCUAUUUAGACUAUCAUUUCUCAAAUGUUUUCAACCCUUAGGUUUGGUUAGUUCUAAACAAUAGUCCUAUUUCAGGUCCUCGUAUUAUUUAGAAACUUUCAAAGUAAUAUGCAGAACUCCUUCUGCAUGUGUAUUGUCAGUCCAUUAAUCGUUAUUUCAAUGAAAAAUACUUGAAAAAGAUUAUCAAAACGGACAAAAUGAAAUUUUGUUGAGAGCAAAGCUCUAAACAAACAAAUCAAUCAAGAUAGCAAAUUUUGCUGAGAUACGAGAUGAAUAAGAUGAAAAAGAUUAUCACAAUAGAUAAGAUGAAAAUUUGUUGAGAGCAAAGCUCUAAAUGAACAAAUUAAUCAAGAUAGCAUUUUUGCUAGAAUACAAAAUGAGAAUACAUUAAUCAAGGUGGCGUAUUUUGUCAAAAAUACAAAAAAUGAAUGAAAUGGAAAUAGGUGCCCCAGAUAUCAUAACAUGAGCUUCUCUGCCCCAAACAUUUUGAAGACCCUUUUGAACUUGAUAUGUGUCUAGAAGACCUAGAAGACUUUGUUGAUGCCCCAAGAUGUAGCAUCUCUCCUUCUUAUUAAUUCAGAAAGGGCAAGACUACGGCAUGCCCCACCUUUGAUCAAAAUUUGAACUGCCUAUUCCUGGGUUUUCAAUUCAAAACCCUUUGGUCUCAAGGCGCCCUUUACGGGUUUUCACCUUGGCCUCUCCUUUUUCUUUUUUCAUUCUUUCUUUAUUUUUUCUUUUUUCUCAAGUGAAGUGUUCAUCACGUGAAUCAAAAUUCUCAAGAUUAGGCAGGUUCUUGCCAUCCAUCUCGGUCAAUAUCGACGUUUUUCAGAUAAGGCCUUCCUCAUAAGGUCCUUUCCAGUUUGACAUACACUUUCCUAUGAAGUUCUUUUGCAUGGGAAGGAUCUUCCUCGAUAUUAGGUCCCCUCAUGGAAUUCUAUAGGGCGAACCUUUUUUGGUGAGUUCGCAUCAUUUGCUUUUGGUACAUUUGACCAUGACGGAUAGCUUUUAACCUUUUCUCUUCAAUUAUAUCAGACCUGGAUCCAUUCUGCUUCAUCUAACUUCAAUUCUGACAAGACUCGAAGGGAAGAAAUAUCACCUUCGAUGGGUAAGACUGUCUCUAUUCCAUAUACCAAUGAGAACUGAGUUGCCCCGGUAGAGGUUUUUUCUUUUAUUUUUGGUUUUUUUUGCUUUUUAUUUUUUAGUUUUUUUUUUGCUUUUUGCUUUUUGCUCUUUUUUUUCCCUCCACUGAACUAUUCAUUUUGAGGUGAUAUGAUGUCAAUCUUGAACAGACUGCAAAUUUUUGAUGUCGUGCGGUUGUUCAAAUUUAAUGCAUAGUCUAAUAUGAUCCUUUUUGGCAUUCCAUAUUGACAUAUGAUUCUUCAAGAAAUUUUUUGAUUGUCAGCUUUGUGAUAUUGGCAUAUGAAACAACCUUUACCCACUUUAUGAAGUAACCGAUGACCACAAAGAUGAAUCGAUAACCGCCAGAAGCUUUUGGCGAGAUUAGCUCAAUGACCUCCAUGCCCCCACAUAGAGAAAGGUCAUGGAAAAGUCAUAACAUUAAUAGAUAGAGGCAUAUGAAUUUUAUCCCCAUAAAUUUGACACUUAUGGAAUUUCUUGGUAUGACUGACGCAAUCCCGUUCCAUGGUGGACCAGCAGUACCUAAAUCUUAUGAUUUACUUGGCCAUUUCAAAAUCAUUGCAUGUGUUCCUCAGACACCCUUAUGGACAUUUUCUAAUAGUUCUUAGCCUCAACAGCAUCCACAUGUCUUGGUAGCUCAGGCAUAUCUUGAUCAUGCGAAAACAUCUUUGAAUUCUCAAAGUAACUCAAUGACGUCCCGCUUUAUCUCUAGGGUGAUACAGGCUCUGAUUUUCACCUUUUUCUCCUCUCCUAAGCUCACAAUUUCCUACUAAUUUUUUUUGUAAGGUAAGAUCUAUUUUUCGACUUCCUCUACCAUCCUUAACAAAUCAGGAGAUAAGCUACAGUCUCGAUCAUCUUCGAAGUUUUGAGGUUCCUCUAGACACAUAUCUUGCUCAAAAGGAGAUUCUGAGUCAAUAGCAGUAUCGCUCAUAUCAUUAAUAUUUGGAGACCUAUUUUAGGGACGUAGGAAGACUCAAAGAGCUUAAUGAAUCAAAGGAUAAUUAUCUGUAUGGUAUGAGUAGGAAUGAAAUGGGAGGAACAAGAGAAUGUUUGCCAAAACAAGACACAAAUAUGCAUUUCGUUGAAAUAAAGAAUAGUGGACAUGUGCCUUUUUCACAAAAGAAUUUUCUAUUGCUUCAGGCUUAGAGCAAUAAGAGCGUUCCAAAUAUUACUCUGAAAUGGUCUUAAAAAAUUACAAGAAUCUCCUUUACAGUCCAGUUGUUUAGAACACCUCUAGGGAUGUAGAAACAAAUCCCUGAUAGGUUUUUUUAAUUCCUUCUUCAAAGACACAAACAUCUUUACUUUCCAAGCCAUCGAUAUAUUCAAAGAAUUCCAAUUCUUUAUCAUCCAUCUGGUUCUGUACUAGAGUUCUAAACUCGACGUACUUUUGGAUUUUAGGAAAUUUAUUAUAUAAAAUGAAAUGUAAUGUUGAUGCAUGAAUGCGUAUUUUUGAAUUUUAGGAAAUUUAUUAUAUGCAAUGAAAUGUAACGUUGAUGCAUGAAUGCAAAAAAAAGACGUUGAUUUUUGGUUCAAUUCUAUUAGAACAACUUUACUAGAAAAUAAAUCUCUUUACAUAAAGUGGAUAUAUACGGUUUUGCCAUUAUAUACGGAGACAUUCGAUCCUCUUCUUCAUUCGAGCGUUAAGAUAAAUUUCACGAACUCCCCAAAAGGGAUGUCUCUUUUAUUUCCUCUGGGCCGCGACUCGUUGCUCACUCAUCCUCAUAAUGCUCGUUGGCUUUUCUUUAAGAAAGUUUAGUGGCUCUCGAAUAAUCUUUGUCAUGUUGAAUCCUUGGGCAAUAAAGCAAAGUCGUGUAGUUAUCCACUUUAUCAAGAAACUCAUUUUCAUAUGAUAAGCUCUCUAUUUAGCAACUGAACAUGAAUUAACACCUCUUUUUUAUGAUGAACAUGUAAUGCAAUCAUAACCAAAACAAAAGAAAACAGGUUAGUACAGAGCAAAAGUAAGCAAGAAUAAAUAGAACACCUAUUCGGGUGACCACUAGGGGUUUGAAGUGGUUCUACCUAGGGUAGGCUCUUAGGGCUCACUAUAUGUUGUUUGGUUCUAAAGCGAGGGUACCCAAACCAGCAGAUUCCUCUAUCCUCACCCAUUAUAGGCUCAUACGGAUCGAGUUCGGUUCAGGGGAAUACAUUUCCCUAUGGCUGCACGGAGAUGAAAAUCUCACGAAGACAUAGGUACGGAUGUAUCCCGAAAGCGAUUCACUAUCCCAUGCGGAGGUGAAAAACUCACAAAGGCGUAGUUUCUCACUCCCACUUAAAAGGUGUGACCCACGGUCAUGCAAUGCAAUGCAGCAGUAUACCAAGCUUAAACUACCACAGCAAUCAAAUCACAAUGAUAAAAACCGAAAUAAAGAUGAAUGAAAUGCAACGAAAGGAUCGUAUAUUUAAAUUAAAUUCUCGAUUUUCGACAAGAAGACAAAAAUAAUCAACACGUGGCUUGACUCUCUUUUUAAAUGUCCCCAGUGGAGUCGCCAAGCUGUUGACACCAUUUUUUUUGAUGAAACGGGGUCGACUUGGAUUUUGAAAAUAAAACGAAAUUGGGAAUCGCCACCAAUCUUUUUUUGAUGAGGUGUGAUCGGGUCACCUCGUAAAAAGGUUGUUUUUGAUAAACAAUUUGAUUUUAUUAAAACAAUGAGUUUGGUCUACGAAAUCCAAAAACAAGUUCGGGAGUCGGUUACGCACGAGGAAGGGUUAGCACCCUCGAUACGCCCAAAAUUGGUACCUAGUUGAUUUCUUAAUGUCUUGGUGUCGAAAAUUAAAAACUCAAAAAGAAUUUAAAAUACGAUCCCUCCUUAUAUUGUUAUUUUAAAAUUACUCAAAUAAAUCAAAAUGGAAAAUGCUUCCUUAUCUCGAAGUAACAAGAUGUCACGUCCAGUAAGUUAGGAUACAACACAUCGUAUUUUCGAGAGUAAGCUUGCCUUUAUUUUUUGUUUAAACCUCAUUUAUUUUAAUUUCAAAAGGAUGUUCGGUUAUUUAGGAUCAACGCGAGAAAAAUCGAAGCUCAGUAAGUUAGGGCACGAUUUUCUCGAAUUUUCUAAAUACGAAAUAUUGCCUUAUUUUGAAAGUUUAAAAAGGAUAUUUGGCUAUUUGGUCGAACGAGAAAUCGAAACCCAGCACAUUAGGGCACGUUUUCUCGAAUUUUCCAAACUCAAAAUAUUGCCUUAAUUAAAAAAAAUUUCUUUUUGAUGUAUGGUGUUAAUAUGCAUAGCAAAACAAUAAUGAAUAUGAUGGCAUAAAAACAACGCGAGUAAUAGCAACGAAAGUAAGAUUAUUAAAUAUAAAUAAUAAUGAAAAUGAAGAUAAAUAAAUAAAUAACGAAUAGAUGUAAAGAACGUAUAUACAUGAAUGUACACAAAAUUAUGAAAAUAUGAAAAAUCCAUGUACGUAUACGUAUUGUGAGAUUAUUAAAUAUAAAAAUAUAUGUAAAUAUGUAUACAUGUAUAGGUAUAUGAAUUAAAAUAUGUAAAUAGAUAAGUAUAUAUAUAUGCAUGUAGAAAAUAUGAAAUAUAAAAAAUAUAUUUAAAAUAAAUAGAGGAUAUGUACGUGUAUAUAUAUAAAUUAUAAGAUAUAGUAAGAAAUGUAUAUGAGUAUAUAUAUACAUAUAUAUAUUAGAGAAAAAUGUGUACGUGUAUAUAUUUAUGAAAAUGAAAAUAUGUAUAUAAAUAUAUAGGUAUGUACAUAAGUUGUAGAAUAUAUAAAAAUAUAUAAGUAUAUAUAUGUACCGAAAAUUUAAAUAAAUAUAAAUAUAAAUAAAUAGAUAACAAUAAUAAUAGUAAUGUAAUAUAAUAGUAAUAAUAAUAUUAAAAUAACUAAUUUAAUGAUAAAAUAACUAAAAUAACAAAUAAGGGAUUAAAUUGAAAACUAAACUAAAAUUUGGGGGCGAAUCGCAAACAAAUAAAAUGAUUUGGGGCUGAAAUAUGAGAUAUUUAAAGGCUGGGGGACUGAAAUGAGGCGCGCGCAAAGUACGGAGGACUGAUCGGGAAAUAUGCCCAAGUCCUGAAGCGCCGCAUUUAUGCGCGGACUAAAUUGGAGCAGACGAAAAAAAUAUGCGGCCAAAAUUAAAAGAAUUGAAAGGCUACAUGGAACGUGUCGCAGAGCUAGAGGGACCAAAAGCGCAAAUAAACCAUUAGGGCAAAGUGCGCAGGUCUCCCCUUUAAACGGCGCCGUUUUCAUCACUAUAAAAGCAAAAAUUUUUACUCCCUCUGUCGUUUCACUCUCUUUCAAAGAAAAUUGAAAAAAUAAAAGGGAGGCUUCCCCUUUUCUGUUCGGGUUCUAUGCCCAGCCGCCGUCGUGCCUUCCCUUGCCUGGUGGCCGGAGCCAUGCAAGGGCACCUUCAGGCCGCGCGUUGCAGCGCACUCAGAGAUCGAGGCCAAGGAACGGGGGGAAACGAGGGGAAAAAAGAAAAGCUUCGGGCCUCUCCUUAAACUCGCGUCCGACGACGGCGAAGAGCCGACGACGACGACGGCUUCAGUGGGCCGGUUCUGGUGGUUUUCUUCCCUUUUUCCCUUUUUUCUUUUUAUUAAUAAUAAGGAAGUAUUCAAAAAAAUGAAAAAAAAUAAAUAAUAAAUAAAAUAGAUCGAAAGAUGAAGCAAUUUGUUAUUUUAUUUCAAGUGUGUUUGUUUUUUUUAAUCGGAAGAAGAAAUUACAAUGGUGAGAUUUUCGGUUUUUAUAACCGAUUACAACUGUUUAUUUUCUAUUUGUUUAUUUCUGCUUGGCUUCUUGCAGGUGGUCGUGGCCGACAACGGUGGCAGAGGCGUGCGAGUGGGCGUGGCAGACGAGGAGGUGGAGCGGCACACAUGCGGCGCUUGGAGGCUAGGGUUUCCUUUGAUAGCUGAAAUUUUUUUUUAAGUUUUGUGGGUUAGGGUUUUCCUAAUUUUGGGCCAGAUUUUGGGCUUGGGAUUUUAUUUUGGAUUUUAUUAUUUGGGUUAUUU
rnacentral:lncRNA from 1 species